ACGUGGCUGACAAUUCAGAAAAUCUCUCUCUCUCUCUCUCUCUCACACACACACACACACUACUUACUGAAGUCUGCCUCCUUUGAACCACAAUAUUAUGAAUAAUAGGUUCAAAGGAGGCAGACUUCAGUAAGUAGUGUGUGUGUGUGAGAGAGAGAGGGGGGGGGAGGGAGAGAGAUUUUUCUG